UACAGGGGGGGCAAGCGUUGUUCGGAAUUACUGGGCGUAAAGGGUUCGUAGGUGGCCACUUAAGUCAGACGUGAAAUCCCUCAGCUUAACUGGGGAACUGCGUCUGAUACUGAGUGGCUUGAGUGCAGGAGAGGAAUGCGGAAUUCCAGGUGUAGCGGUGAAAUGCGUAGAUAUCGAGAGGAACACCUGCGGCGAAGGCGGGUUGCUGGGCUGACACUGACGCUGAUGCGCGAAAGCUAGGGGAGCGAACGGG
rnacentral:rRNA from 1 species